rnacentral:snoRNA from 1 species
UCCCUCCAGAUUCCUUAUCCCUCAAAUCUAAAUUUUGGUUUGAGUGGUUGAAAAAAGAGGGAAAAUAAAAGUGAAAUGAACUUGGGGUCUUUAGUGGCAAACAAGUUCAAUUUUUAAAAAC